AAAGAUAGCAGGUAUCUCUCUUAUUGUCUACCUUGUCUGAUUGUAGAGACAGCAAGAUGACAGUUUUCAUAUUACAUCAUUUUCAAACAUGUCCUUCUGUUCACUGCAGGUCUAACAAAAGGAAUUGGUCUUUCCUGUCCUUCCUUACUGAAAUAUGUGGUUAGUUGCGUUGGGGGGCAGGGGUUUGAAGAAAGCAAGAUUUUCCUUUUUCUAGCUGUAUCUCCAGAACUAUUAACUACUCAAGCAGAAAUCACUACCUCAUUUUCUGUUGAAGCUAUGAAAAAGAGUUCAGGCUUCAUCUUAAAAACCUAUGUGGUGGGAAGUAAGACCUUCUUUGAUUGCCUAAUUUUGUCCCACACAAAUUGAGUUGGCAACAAAUGUAGAUAAUAUCCCUGCCUUGCAAACAUACCCAUUUAUGAAUAAUACAACUAUGUGUUUCGCAGGAUGCUAAACAUCAUCCUAUCAUCUUGGUAUGAUAGGACAAAAGGAUAACUCAACAAUAUUUUUUCAUACGGAGGAAAAAAAUGUCUGAGAGGACACAUAAUGUUUCCAAAAUUGCUAGUAUAUUCAGCAACUACAAACCAAAUGACACUUAGAAUAUCAGAAGUUUUUAUCUUUUUGGAUGAAUUCAAUCAUCAGCAGCCUACUUUAGUAUAUGAAGAGCAAAAGUCAUAAUAUAUUAUUUUUCAUCUAUUAUUUCAGCGCUGCAUUGCCUUUUCUGAAUAAAGGAAGUUUAUCAAGAAAAUUUACCUCAUUUUAGCUUGUUAAAAUACUGUUAGAUGAGAUGCUGGCAGACGGACAUUUUUGAAACUAUCUUGACCAGUAAAAUCUUGUCAGUACCACUGCUCCAACUUUCUGCUGAACACUAUUGUUGUUUGAACUCCUGCAACAAACAUGCCUUCUACAUACAAGGUCAUGAAGUCUAAUUGUGGCCUUAAAAAAAGAAAUAGGAACAGGAUCUUUCCAGUUAGGAGAUUAAAAAAAUGUCAUCAAACAGGGGCCAGUGAAGACAGCACUAAAUCAAAAAUAAAGAAAGAAAACCAUGCAACUCUGAACAGACCAUGGAAUACCAAACCUGGCUCGCUUGGAUGGCAGCCGCUGUUGGUUAACUGUCAUUCCAAAAAAUCUGGGAUCAUUGAACUAAUGUGCAACAACUCCCCUCUCUGUGAUACUGACUACAUUGUACUAUGCCGACUCCUAGUAACUUAAGAGUAACUUCCCCCUCCAGCAGCCAGGACUCUUGAAGACUGCUGUAUUCUACAUAAAACUCAUAACGUUGAAACACUAGCAGUGUUCUUUUCCUGUUUUUUGAAUCAGAUCAUGUUUUCAUCGGCUCUCCCAUCACUACUAUAUCACAUAUCAAAAACUUGUAUUAUCCUGCAGCACCUUUCGGUGCAUCCUCUUCCUUAUUUUCAAGGCUCUCACAGCCUUAUUCCCCCAUUUCCCACGAAGAGUACUAGCCUUAAUACUUUCAUCCACAGUCUAAAACAAACUGCUUUGCUUGCAUUGAGAUCUUCAGAGUGAGGGCAGUGCCACUGCUGAAUUUAGGAAGGGACUAGCUUAUUUGAAUUACAGCCAAAAUUCACUUAAAGUUUUAAUUAGAUGUGACUUUCUGUCAAUACAUCACUGCUUUCUGAUGUUGUAUAUUUGGUCUACAAAUAUCCUAGAAUAAAACAUUCCGACUGUGCCA
ensembl:lncRNA